CGCCGACAUUGUGACUGUUACAGUGCGAAGGCCGACCAACAGGGGAAUCCGGUGCAAGGCCGGAACUGACGCGCAACGGUAUGAGGCAGCGCCUCGAGUCCGAUCACCUGUGGCAGGCAAUGACCGUUG
rfam:Mycobacterium sp. VKM Ac-1817D, complete genome.